rnacentral:rRNA from 1 species
UACAGAGACUGCAAGCGUUAUUCGGAUUCACUGGGCGUAAAGGGUGCGCAGGCGGCCGCGUGUGUGAGGCGUGAAAGCCCGGGGCUUAACCCCGGAAUUGCACCUCAAACUACAUGGCUAGAGCAUUGGAGAGGGUAGCGGAAUUCACGGUGUAGCAGUGAAAUGCGUAGAUAUCGUGAGGAACACCAGAGGCGAAGGCGGCUACCUGGACAAUUGCUGACGCUCAGGCACGAAAGCGUGGGGAGCAAAAGGG